GUAGGUGGCAAGCGUUGUCCGGAAUUAUUGGGCGUAAAGGGCUCGCAGGCGGUUUCUUAAGUCUGAUGUGAAAGCCCCCGGCUCAACCGGGGAGGGUCAUUGGAAACUGGGGAACUUGAGUGCAGAAGAGGAGAGUGGAAUUCCACGUGUAGCGGUGAAAUGCGUAGAGAUGUGGGGGAACACCAGUGGCGAAGGCGACUCUCUGGUCUGUAACUGACGCUGAGGAGCGAAAGCGUGGGGAGCGAACAGGGAUUAGAUACCCUGGUAGUCCACGCCGUAAACGAUGAGUGCUAAGUGUUAGGGGGUUUCCCGCCCCUUAGUGCUGCAGCUAACGCAUUAAGCACUCCGCCUGGGGAGUACGGUCGCAAGACUG
rnacentral:rRNA from 1 species